rnacentral:lncRNA from 1 species
CACUCGAACUUAAUUCCGCAAAAUCCAAGAGCUAACCAAAUCAGCUCUCUACUGAGUUUCGAUAUCCCAAACUCAGUACCGAUACUCAACACCAAAAACUAAAUUUUCACAGAUUUUAAUGUCGAAGUUUGUUCUCGCGCUCAAUAAGCUUCGAAAAUAGGCCAACGCACUCUAAGCAACCACCAAAACUUCCAGAAUAGCUUAAAAUACUAUUCUUACACUAGAAUCUUGUAAUUUGCUAAUGUUCAGUGUGCUACAGAGGUUGUAUUAC